ACGAACGCUGGCGGCGUGCCUAAUACAUGCAAGUUGAGCGCUGAAGGUUGGUACUUGUACCAACUGGAUGAGCAGCGAACGGGUGAGUAACGCGUGGGGAAUCUGCCUUUGAGCGGGGGACAACAUUUGGAAACGAAUGCUAAUACCGCAUAAAAACUUUAAACACAAGUUUUAAGUUUGAAAGAUGCAAUUGCAUCACUCAAAGAUGAUCCCGCGUUGUAUUAGCUAGUUGGUGAGGUAAAGGCUCACCAAGGCGAUGAUACAUAGCCGACCCGAGAGGGUGAUCGGCCACAUUGGGACUGAGACACGGCCCAAACUCCUACGGGAGGCAGCAGUAGGGAAUCUUCGGCAAUGGACGAAAGUCUGACCGAGCAACGCCGCGUGAGUGAAGAAGGUUUUCGGAUCGUAAAACUCUGUUGGUAGAGAAGAACGUUGGUGAGAGUGGAAAGCUCAUCAAGUGACGGUAACUACCCAGAAAGGGACGGCUAACUACGUG
rnacentral:rRNA from 1 species